GGAUUAGAUACCCUGGUAGUCCUAGCCGUAAACGAUGGGUACUAGGUGUUGGAGGAUAUUGACCCCUUCAGUGCCGUAGCUAACGCAUUAAGUACCCCGCCUGGGGAGUACGGCCGCAAGGCUGAAACUCAAAGGAAUUGACGGGGACCCGCACAAGCAGUGGAGCAUGUGGCUCAAUUCGAGGCAACGCGAAGAACCUUACCUGGGCUUGACAUCUGGGGAAUCUUUUAGAAAUAGAAGAGUGCCUUCGGGAACCCCAAGACAGGUGCUGCAUGGCUGUCGUCAGCUCGUGCCG
rnacentral:rRNA from 1 species